AGAGUUUGAUCAUGGCUCAGAUCGAAUGCUGACGGCGUGGAUGAGGCAUGCAAGUCGUACGAUAUGGGGGCAACUCCAUAUAGUGGCGCAAGGGUUAGUAAUACAUGGGUAAUCUACCUUUGACCUGGGAAUAACGGCUGGAAACGGCCGCUAAUACCGAAUGAGGUGUUUUAGGGCAUCCUGAGACAUCAAUGCGGGGGAUUGUAAGACCUCGUGGUUAAAGAAGAGCCCAUGGGAUAUCAGCUAGUUGGUGAGGUAAUGGCUCACCAAGGCUAAGACGUCUAGGCGGAUUGAGAGAUUGACCGCCAACACUGGGACUGAGACACUGCCCAGACUCCUACGGGAGGCUGCAGUCGAGAAUCUUUCGCAAUGGGCGCAAGCCUGACGAAGCGACGCCGUGUGAGCGAAGAAGGCCUUCGGGUUGUAAAGCUCUUUCGCUAGGGAACAAGAGAGACAGACUAAUAUUCUGUCGAUUUGAUGGUACUUGGUAAAGAAGCACCGGCUAACUCCGUGCCAGCAGCUGCGGUAAUACGGAGGGUGCAAGCAUUGAUCGGAAUUACUGGGCGUAAAGGGCGCGUAGGCGGUCAGGAAAGUCAGAUGUGAAAUUCCGGGGCUCAACCCCGGAGCUGCAUUUGAAACUUCCUAUCUAGAGUUCAGUUAGGGAAAACGGAAUUCCACGUGUAGCGGUGAAAUGCGUAGAUAUGUGGAAGAACACCAGUGGUGAAGACGGUUUUCUGGGCUGAUACUGACGCUGAGGCGCGAAAGCAAGGGGAGCAAACAGGAUUAGAUACCCUAGUAGUCC
rnacentral:rRNA from 1 species